rnacentral:lncRNA from 1 species
AUGUCAGUGAGAGCUAAAAUCUUGAUAGCUCUAAUCUAAAAUAUUUUCAGUCGUUGGAUCAUCGAGUCGGAGAUCAAUGAUACCAGUAAGAUAAAGGAAAGAAAAUAGUUUUCCUCCAGAAUACCUAGUUUGCAUCUAAAUUUUUUUUCUAAUAUUCUACUUGUUUAAGGAUCAAAUUCUUACCUGAAUCAUAAUGAAACCAG